UCCUGGAGGAUCCUGGCUGGGGGCUACUAGUUGCUGGCAGGAGGCCGAGAGGCAGAGAGGGCUCAGAUAAAGAUCAAGGUCAAUGAAAGCAGAAGCAACAAAUACAAGCCAGUCGGGACAGAGAGAAAAAGAGGGCAGAAAACACCCAGAGAGGAGGAGACGAGACCCCCUUCAGACCCCUCAGGCUGCGAGGAGACACCGGCUCAGCCUAGAGCUCCCUCUCUGGGGGCAGAAACAUGAGGCACCCACAGGGCAGAAGAGGAGUAAGAAACUUAUUAACAAGAGCACAUUAUUCGUAGCAGUGACUGGGAACCAAAUUCCUGGCAAAGCUUGAACAACUGUGGCAAAAACCUGCCCGGAGUGCUUCCUGCCUUCUCACUGAGAUUCAGAAUAAACACUUCCUGAAGCCUUGUCGUCACCACACAAUGUGUAGGAGCUUCUAUAUACAGUGGAUUCUCAUUAGUCCCAGUAGUUAUGUUCUAUACAGUCACUGCAAACACUCACUGAGCUAGCAAAUACCGAACUGUUGUUUCUGGGGGAAUUGCAGGGUUAAGUUCCUGAGAGCCCCUGGUUACAUUUUCAUCAACCCAUCAAUACACAACCUCCUUUUAUGUA